rnacentral:rRNA from 1 species
GACAGAGGGUGCGAGCGUUAAUCGGAAUAACUGGGCGUAAAGGGUGCGUAGGCGGGCUGCCAAGUUUGAGGUGAAAUCCUCCGGCUCCGAACCGGGGAAGUGCCUUGAAUACUGGCGGUCUGGAGGGAGGUAGGGGCGUGCGGAACUGAACGGUGGAGCGGUGAAAUGCGUUGAUAUCGUUAGGAACUCCGGUGGCGAAGGCGGCACGCUAGACCUCUUCUGACCGCUGAGGCACGAAAGCCAGGGGAGCGAACGGGAGUUAGAAACCCUGG